CAGCAGUGGGGAAUAUUGCACAAUGGGGGGAACCCUGAUGCAGCGACGCCGCGUGAGGGAAGAAGGUUUUUGGAUUGUAAACCUCUGUCCUUGGUAAAGAAGCAAGACGGUAGCCAAGGAGGAAGCCACGGCUAACUACGUGCCAGCAGCCGCGGUAAUACGUAGGUGGCAAGCGUUGUCCGGAAUUACUGGGUGUAAAGGGAGCGUAGGCGGUUAUGCAAGUUGAAUGUGAAAUCUAUCGGCUCAACUGAUAGGCUGCGUUCAAAACUGUAUAUCUUGAGUGAAGUAGAGGCAGGCGGAAUUCCUAGUGUAGCGGUGAAAUGCGUAAAUAUUAGGAGGAACACCAGUGGCGAAGGCGGCCUGCUGGGCUUUAACUGACGCUGAGGCUCGAAAGCGUGGGUAGCAAACAGGAUUAGA
rnacentral:rRNA from 1 species